rfam:Cyclobacterium lianum strain CGMCC 1.6102 genome assembly, contig: Ga0070154_112
AUUGAUGUUUCAUCGAUAGGAUACGUGCAUUCCUGGUAACGGAAUUGUGCGAAGGUAUCCGGACAAAAUAGCCCGUAAAGGGAUUCUGAGAAGAAUGCCUGUUACGCACCAACCUAAGGUGCGGGGGAGU